AGCGGAAAAGGAAAAAAAAAACUUAUCUCCCGUCGCCGCCUCCCGGAGCCGCUCGCCGCCUCCUCGCGAGCGCCCGCCGGACCGCCGGGUGCCGCCGCCAGCUCCGAGCACUCACCCGCCGGAGCCGCGCCCCCUACCCCGCCACCUCCUCACGCGCGCCCGACGCUCGCCCUACCCCGCUGCUGCCGCCUCCUCGCAGCCGCCGGUGAGCCGGGUUUGCCGUCUGCUGGGGCCUUCUCCACCGCCGCCGCCGCCUCCUCGCGCGCAGCCUCUGGAGAUCUGGGGUCGCCGUCGGCCAGCUCCUCCUCGCGUGCGCCCGCCCGGGAUCUGUGGUGGGUUACGGCACUACGUAGUAUAGACUCCAGGUUAAGGCACAGGGAGGCAACAAUCCAAUCUAGGAGAGAUGGGAUGGGAUCCCAGCUCAAGGGAGCCCUGGCGGCAGCUACGAUUGGGAGGACCUAAGCCCUACAGCCAAGCUCUAUAAUCAACCCCCUUUUGCUUACUGGCGAUAAGUCAACCAACUUCCAAUGAUGCAGUCAAUAGUUUCUGAUCAGUUUGGAGUAGUCUGUGCCAUGUUGCUGUGAUAAUGCUACAGGUUGACUUCAAGCAUUGGGCUAAAAACUAAGAUUAUGUAAGUUAAAUAACAUAUAUGCCGUCAUUUUCAAUUUAAGUGAUAUUGUGUCAAUCUUCUGAUCAACUGUUUACAUCUUCGGAUUAUAUAGAUUCAUGUCACCUGUGUAUGUCUUCGGAAUUAUCUAUGUUUAUGUUACUGUGUAUGUCUUCAGAUUUAUAUAUAUUUAGGUCACCUGUGUAUAUCUUGAGAUAUUCCGUAAUUGCAUAUUAUUACAGAUGGCAAAGAUGCUUAAUUCUAUUUUUUUACUGGAUAUCCUUCAGCGAUAUGCCCCUGCCCGGCCUUGUCAGCUGAUAUGGCAUACAUUCCUCCAGGCUGCACUCACUUACACUUUUACUGUAGAUUGAUAGAUUAAUGUUCCUUUGUCAAGGUGAACCAAUCAGCUAAUGAUGGUUCAUAUAGUUCUGAUUUGAGUGCAACUAUGUAUCCACUAUGAUGUAGAAUCGUGGGUAUUUACAGAUGCAAUUUAAAAGGUAUGCCACUUAGGAAUCGACACUCAGGCACAUGCACCUAGGCUUGAUGGGUAAGUCUGGCCAAUUUACAUAUGGGGAACACAAAUUAAUUUAAUCAGUUAUUCCAAUUUAUUCUUCUUUGUUUCUAUGCAUUGCAAUACCAAUUUGAGUGCCUAUCUUGUCAUGCUAUUCAGCAUAAUGUCUUGGCAGGCUAUGCAUAUGUUCAUGCUUAUAUAUGUAGCAUUCAUAUAAGUAACUAUUAAUUGGAUUGCUUGCUUUGUCUAAUGCAGCCUCACCAUUUCAUUUGUGGCGAGUACCUUAAUUCCAUCUUGCCAUUAUCGAGGGAGUAUAUCAUCUGCACCUAAUUCUGUAUAUAGAGUAUUUAUUGACUAGGGUCUUGGAAAUUUUUGAAUUGCUGUCAGAUGCAAGUUCCUCAGAUUGAUGAUUUGAUUAGUUUCACAGCUAAUACCAUUGAUCACAGCUAAACACCACUUAUAGAAGUUUAAUGGAUUUUUAUCUAAAAAGGGGAAAAAGGGAAGUUAAUAACUGAAACUGCAUAGUAGUACUAUGGUCUCUGAACAAAGAAAUUUGUUGAGUUUCCUAGCAACUGCUGGGUGCAUUUUCCUCUUGUUAUGUGUGCCUAACCUUCCAUCCAUUAAAUUUCAAAAGUGCAAAUUCUUUGUAUAGGUAUUACUGGGACUCAAAUGUACACCUUUCAGUUCACUCUCAAUUUUGUUUCUGAAUUGUGUGUCUGCUGAUGCUUGCUUCUGAAUUUUGUAUCUGAAGGCGAAUCAUUGCUUCUGUUUUAUGUAGUCCUCAGCUUGAGUAAGCCAGGAAAUUAUGCACUGUGUUGUCAAAAAGCUAUGCACUUUGUUAUUAGGAGUUGUUUAAAUAAUAAUGGAUCCCCUUUUGUUUCCAGCCUUGGAGAUCAUCCAGGUUCUCAGGGGGUCAACCCUAUCAACAUAUAUUUUUUAAUCAUUUCAGGAAGAGAAAUAGAGAAUUAUUGCAUGCAUUCCUUUGAUAUCAAAGAUUGGGAUUAAAUUUCCAGCUUAAUCCUGACAGCCGCAAUGUGUCUUGUGCAAAAGGAAGCAAGGCUGCAACUGAAACACGGUGAAUAGUAAAUAAAAAUCUCGCUUUUAGGAAAAAAGGUGCAGCAGCUUGAAGCAUUAAAAAAGAAGAUGGCAGCAAACAGAUGUUUGCUUUAUUGUAUUCAAUACUUGGAUAUUCCACUGUGCUUCCCAAAUUGAGCUGAAUAAAUAGCUUGACGAAUUGUUCUCUUAACAUGUCUCAGUUGUCUUUUGUAUCAAAUCAGCAGCAUAAUCCAUUCAUGGAUUGUUCUUUUUCACUGGUGAUACAGAUAGUUACUUCUAAUGUUUUAUGGAAAAGUUCGAGCUACAAAAAUUUCUGAAGCAAGCUUACGGAUUGUUUCUGAUGAGUUUAGCAACUCUAUGGAAACAAGCAUAAGUGCUUCUCAUCUGACCAGUUCCAAGAGAGAAGUAGCCAACUGGCAUGGUUAUGUUCAUCAGAAUAUUGAAUGUCAAAUCGAAAGGAGGUGCCAACCUAUAGCUAUCAACGACAUGGACACCAUGGUUCAGAUCCAUAAAUUUGGGGAUCAUGGAUGUCUAGGUUCAGAAAAUUUUGGAUUUUAGACAACAAUUUUCUAGAAUUACCAAUUCAGAAAAACACAUUAUGCGUUUUGUUAUAAUGUAAUAAAAUACCAAUUUACGUUUA
rnacentral:lncRNA from 1 species